GACGAACGCUGGCGGCGUGCUUAACACAUGCAAGUCGAACGGAAAGGCCCUGCUUUUGUGGGGUUCUCGAGUGGCGAACGGGUGAGUAACACGUGAGUAACCUGCCCUUGACUUUGGGAUAACUUCAGGAAACUGGGGCUAAUACCGUAUAGGAGCUCCUGCUGCAUGGUGGGGGUCGGAAAGUUUCGGCCGUUGGGGAUGGACUCGCGGCUUAUCAGCUUGUUGGUUGGGUAGGUGCUUACCAAGGCUUUGACGGGUCGCCGGCAGGAGAGGGUGACCGGCCACAUUGGGACUGCGAGAGGGCCCAGACUCCAACGGGAGGCAGUGGGCGGAAACAUUGCACAAUGGGCGCAAGCCUGAUGCAGAAACCCCGCGUGCGGGAUGACGGCCUUCGGGUUGUAAACCGCUUUCGCCUGUGACGAAGCGUGAGUGACGGUAAUGGGUAAAGAAGCACCGGCUAACUACGUG
rnacentral:rRNA from 1 species